rnacentral:tRNA from 1 species
GAUUGAUAAAGUUUGGUUUCGGCCCAAAACAAGGCAUUAUUUAUGCCCAAUCU